rnacentral:rRNA from 1 species
CAGUCGCCGCGGGAAUACGUAGGUGGCGAGCGUUGUCCGGAAUCAUUGGGCGUAAAGGGAGCGCAGGCGGGCAUGUAAGUCUUUCUUAAAUGUUCGGGGCUCAACCCCGUGAUGGGAAAGAAACUACAUGUCUUGAGUACAGGAGAGGAAAGCGGAAUUCCCAGUGUAGCGGUGAAAUGCGUAGAUAUUGGGAGGAACACCAGUGGCGAAGGCGGCUUUCUGGACUGCAACUGACGCUGAGGCUCGAAAGCCAGGGGAGCGAACGGGAUUAGAUACCCCAGUAGUCCCUGUCUCUUAUACA